rnacentral:rRNA from 1 species
GGUGGAUGCCUUGGCAGUCAGAGGCGAUGAAAGACGUGAUAGCCUGCGAAAAGCUUCGGGGAGGUGGCAAUGUACCUUUGAUCCGGAGAUAUCUGAAUGGGGAAACCCACCCGCUGUAAGGCGGGUAUCAUACACUGAAUACAUAGGUGUAUGAGGCGAACGAGGGGAAGUGAAACAUCUCAGUACCCUCAGGAAAAGAAAUCAAUUGAGAUUCCCUAAGUAGCGGCGAGCGAACGGGGACCAGCCCUUAAGUCAAUUAUGUUCUAGUGGAACGCUCUGGAAAGUGCGGCCGUAGUAGGUGAUAGCCCCGUACACGAAAGGGCAUAAUUGAUGAAAACGAGUAGGACGGGACACGUGAAAUCCUGUUUGAAUAUGGGGGGGACCAUCCUCCAAGGCUAAAUACUCCUGACUGACCGAUAGUGAACAAGUACCGUGAGGGAAAGGCGAAAAAGAACCGUGGUGAACGGAGUGAAAUAGAUCCUGAAACCGUAUGCAUACAAGCAGUGGGAGCCCCCUUCGUGGGGUGACUGCGUACCUUUGUA